rnacentral:lncRNA from 1 species
UAUUAUUAUUGUUAACUGCUCUCUAUGUCUCAAGCACCUUUGUAAGUGAUGGGGUAGAUAAGAGUCAAUUAGUCUGGACACAUUCUCUUUUCCAUUUGGGGCUCACCAUCUAAGUAGGAGGGAGAACAGGCUUUUUAUUUACUUAUUUAUUUUUUAUGGUAAUUGUAAAGUGCUUACUAUGUGCCAGGCACUAUACUAAAUGGCUCAGUGGAAAGAGCCUGGGCUUGGGAGUCAGAGGUCAUGGGUUCGACUCCCGGCUCUGCCACUUGUCAGCUGUGUGACUGUGGGCAAGUCACUUAACUUCUCUGUGCCUCAGUUACCUCAUCUGUAAAAUGGGAAUUAACUGUGAGCCUCACGUGGGACAACCUGAUUACCCUGUAUCUACCCCAGCGCUUAGAACAGUGCUCUGCACAUAGUAAGCGCUUAACAAAUACCAACAUUAUUAUUACAAGCUGAGUCCCUGUCCCUCAUGGCGUUCAAAGUCUUACUACCUAUUUUACAGAUGAGAAAACUGAUACACCCAGAAGUUAAGUGCCUUGUCCAAGGUCACACAGUAAACAUUUAGCAGAGCUGGCAUUAGAACCCAGGUCCUCUGACUCCCAGGCCCGGACUCUAUCCAUUAGGCUAUGCUCCUUGUCAUUUCUUCCAUGCCCAGAUACUUAGUUCCUUCUAGAGAGGGAAGGGUCACGUGGGCUGGGUGAGGGGAUCUCAGGAAUCCACCUACCAGCCCCUCCCCUGAGAGCUCAAACAGCACAGGGAAAGGGGAAAGGGGUGGGGUGGGCCUCAGUUAUCGCUAGGUUAUGACACAUGAGGAUGUUUAUUUCAAAUCCAUUCUUCCUGAGGAAAGAAGACGAUUGGUUGGUGUCACCUACAAAAGUGAUCCUGGCUGUGCUGCUGGUUCUGACCUCUCUCUUUUAUCUCAUCGGGAAGCUGAACGCUGCAUUCUUCUGCUUCUUUUGCGGAUUCCUGCCUAUCCUGGGCCUGAUGGCUGGUGUGAUCGUCUACUUCAUCUAGAAACUUCCUGAGGAAAAAUCAUUUUGUGGGAAAAAAUAUGUAAGGUAAAGGACCUGGGAAGGAGCCACAGUCCUUUAGAGAGAGGCGGGAAGGCAAUAAUAAUGAUAAUAAUUAUGGUAUUUCUUAAGACUGUAAGCUCAGUGUGGAAAAGAAAUGUGUCUGUUUAUUGUUGUACUCUCCCAAACACUUAAUGCAAUGCUUUGCACACAGUAAGUUCUCAAUAAAAAUGAUAGAAUGAAUGAAGGAAUGAAUAAGUGCUUACUAUGUGCCAGGCAGUGUCCCGAGCGCUGGGGUGAAUACAAGCAAAUUGGGUUGGACACAGUCCUUGUCCCAAAGUUUCCAUCUCCAUUUUACAGAUGAGGUAAUUGAGGCACAAAGAAGUGAAAUGACUUGCCCAAGCUUACACAGCAGACAGGUGGUGGAGCCUGUAUUAGAACCCAUGACCUUCUAAUUUCCAGGCCCGUGCUCUAUCCAUUAAGCCAUUCUAUCAAUAAUUCUCAGACACCUGAAGGGAUCGGGCCCCCUUCCCUGCCCCCUCUCCCAUGUCAGUGGCAGGAGGACACGUGGGUUGGGGGAUGGGGAUGGGCUCGGCCUCUCUGAGUGGCUUGACAGCAAAGCUGUCCUUUUUAUGUGAUGGUCAGCAGGGCUGUUGAAUUUCCCCUUAUUUUCUCAUUCUUGUUCAUCAUCUAGAGAAGCAGGAUGGCUUAAUAAUAGUAAUAAUGAUGGUAUUUGUUUGGAGAAGCAGUGUGGCUCAGUGGAAAGAGCACGGGCUUUGGAGUCAGAGGUCAUGGGUUCGAAUCCCAG